rnacentral:rRNA from 1 species
GACGAACGCUGGCGGCGUGCUUAACACAUGCAAGUCGAACGGUAAGGCCCUUCGGGGUACACGAGUGGCGAACGGGUGAGUAACACGUGGGUGAUCUGCCCUGCACUUCGGGAUAAGCCUGGGAAACUGGGUCUAAUACCGGAUAGGACCCUGGGAUGCAUGUCCUGGGGUGGAAAGCUUUCGCGGUGUGGGAUGGGCCCACGGCCUAUCAGCUUGUUGGUGGGGUGAUGGCCUACCAAGGCGACGACGGGUAGCCGGCCUGAGAGGGUGACCGGCCACACUGGGACUGAGAUACGGCCCAGACUCCUACGGGAGGCAGCAGUGGGGAAUAUUGCACAAUGGGCGCAAGCCUGAUGCAGCGACGCCGCGUGAGGGAUGACGGCCUUCGGGUUGUAAACCUCUUUCAGCACCGACGAAGCGCAAGUGACGGUAGGUGCAGAAGAAGGACCGGCCAACUACGUGCCAGCCGCCGCAGUAA